rnacentral:rRNA from 1 species
CCUACGGGAGGCAGCAGUGGGGAAUUUUGGACAAUGGGCGCAAGCCUGAUCCAGCAAUGCCGCGUGCAGGAUGAAGGCCUUCGGGUUGUAAACUGCUUUUGUACGGAACGAAACGGCGAACUCUAAUAAAGUUCGCUAAUGACGGUACCGUAAGAAUAAGCACCGGCUAACUACGUGCCAGCAGCCGCGGUAAUACGUAGGGUGCAAGCGUUAAUCGGAAUUACUGGGCGUAAAGCGUGCGCAGGCGGUGAUGUAAGACAGAUGUGAAAUCCCCGGGCUCAACCUGGGACCUGCAUUUGUGACUGCAUCGCUAGAGUACGGUAGAGGGGGAUGGAAUUCCGCGUGUAGCAGUGAAAUGCGUAGAUAUGCGGAGGAACACCGAUGGCGAAGGCAAUCCCCUGGACCUGUACUGACGCUCAUGCACGAAAGCGUGGGGAGCAAACAGGAUUAGAUACCCUGGUAGUCCACGCCCUAAACGAUGUCAGCUGGUUGUUGGGUCUUCACUGACUCAGUAACGAAGCUAACGCGUGAAGUUGACCGCCUGGGGAGUACGGCCGCAAGGUUGAAACUUAAAUGAAUUGACGG